rnacentral:rRNA from 1 species
ACUGGGGCGGUCUCCUCCUAAAGAGUAACGGAGGAGUACGAAGGUGCGCUCAGACCGGUCGGAAAUCGGUCGUAGAGUAUAAAGGCAAAAGCGCGCUUGACUGCGAGACAGACACGUCGAGCAGGUACGAAAGUAGGUCUUAGUGAUCCGGUGGUUCUGUAUGGAAGGGCCAUCGCUCAACGGAUAAAAGGUACUCCGGGGAUAACAGGCUGAUACCGCCCAAGAGUUCAUAUCGACGGCGGUGUUUGGCACCUCGAUGUCGGCUCAUCACAUCCUGGGGCUGAAGCCGGUCCCAAGGGUAUGGCUGUUCGCCAUUUAAAGUGGUACGCGAGCUGGGUUUAGAACGUCGUGAGACAGUUCGGUCCCUAUCUGCCGUGGACGUUUGAGAUUUGAGAGGGGCUGCUCCUAGUACGAGAGGACCGGAGUGGACGAACCUCUGGUGUUCCGGUUGUCACGCCAGUGGCAUUGCCGGGUAGCU